rnacentral:rRNA from 1 species
AGUUCGAUCAUGGCCUGUGAUUGAACGCUGGCGGAUGCUUUGCACAUGCAAGUCGAACGGCAGCACGGACUUCGGUCUGGUGGCGAGUGGCGAACGGCAGUAAUGUAUCGGAACGCUUAGUAGCGGGGGAUAACUACGCGAAAGCGUAGCUAAUACCGCAUACGCCCCUUCGGGGGAAAGCGGGGGACCUUUCGGCCCGCAUUAUUAGAGCGGCUGAUAUCGGAUUAGCUGAAGUUGGUGGGGCAACGGCUCACCAAGGCGACGAUCCGUAGCUGGUUUGAGAGACGACCAGCCACACUGGGACCGAGACACGCCCAGACUCACGGGAGGCAGCAGGGGGAAUUUUGGACAAUGGGGGAAACCUGAUCCAGCCAUCCUGCGUGUGCGAUGAAGGCCUCGGCAAGCGUAAAGCACUUUUGGCAGGAAGAAACGGCACGGGAUAAUACCCCAGGCAACUGGAUGUACCUGCAGAAUAAGCACCGGCUAACUACGUGCCAGCAGCCGCGGUAAUACGUAGGGUGCAAGCGUUAAUCGGAAUUACUGGGCGUAAAGCGUGCGCAGGCGGUUCGGAAAGAAAGAUGUGAAAUCCCAGAGCUUAACUUUGGAACUGCAUUUUGAACUUAAUGAGCUGGAGGUGUCAGAGGGAGGUGGAAUUCCGCGUAGCAGUGAAAUGCGUAGAUGCGAGUGAACACCGGAUGGCGAAGGGGUAGCCUCCUGGGAUAACACUGACGCUACACGAAAGCGUGGGAGCAAACAGGAUUAGAUACCCCAGUCUCACGCCUAAACGAAUAACUAUUGCCAGCCUGGCCCAGCGCAGCUAACGCGCAGUUGACCGCCCGAGUACGGUCGCAAGAUUUAAACCCAAAGGAAUUGACGGGGACCGCACAGCGGUGGAUGAUGUGGAUUAAUUCGAUGCAACGCGAAAACCUUACCUACCCUUGAUACGUCUGGAAUCCUGAAGAGAUUUGGGAGUGCUCGCAAGAGAACCGAACACAGGUGCUGUAUAUUGCUCGCCAGUCAAAUGGAGACGGUUGUUAAGUCCCGGCAACGAGCGCAACCUCGUCGCACAGUUGCUACGAAAGGGCACUCUAAUGAGACUGCUACGGUGACAAACCGGAGGAAGGUGGGGAUGACGUCAAGUCCGGCGGUUCUUGCAUGGGUAGGGGCUUCACACGUCAUACAAUGGUCGGGACAGAGGGUCGCCAACCCGCGAGGGGGAGCCAAUCCCGUAGAAACCCGAUCGUGGUCCGGAUCGCAGUCUGCAACUCGACUGCGUGAAGUCGGAAUCGCUAGUAAUCGCGGAUCAGCAUGUCGCGGUGAAUGUUCCGGUCUUGUACACACCGCCCGUCACACCAUGGGAGUGGGUUUUACCAGAAGUAGUUAGCCUGUAACCGUAAAGGGGGAGGGUUAUCACUACGGUAGGAUCAUGACUGGGGUGAAGUCGUAACAAGGUAA